rnacentral:misc_RNA from 1 species
CACCACUCAAGCCUGGCUUGGUAUUGGGCGUCGCGGUUCCGCGCGCCUUAAAGUCUCCGGCUGAGCUGUCCGUCUCCCAGCGUUGUGACACACGAUCGCUCCGAGUUCGAACAGCCGCGGCCGUUAAACUUAUCUAAA